rnacentral:rRNA from 1 species
AGAAAAGUUUAAAACAUAUUCCAGAUCCUUCUACUAACAGAUACUAAAAAAACCCUUCAUUUAGAAAAACAGUCCUAAGAGGAAAACUUGAAAUAAAAUUAAAAGUAAAACAACAGUAGGAGACUUUAUCUUACCUUUUGCAUCAUGGUCUAACAAGAUCAUUCAGACAACAGCUCUUUCACCCGAAAGGUGACGAGCUAACUCUCUCUUCUUACAGAGACCUUACCCACUGUUGCAGUAGUGGCAAAAAAGGGAGAGUUAGAAGUUAAAUGCUUAUCGUGUUACCUUAUAGCUGGUUUUCAGGGAAAGAGGUAUAAGCCUCUCUAUCCUACGCCAGAAAUCCUUGUCCAUCGGAAACAAAUAAAGGACCCCCGCAGAGAAUAGAAAGAGAGUAGGAGACAAGUUCCACUCUCAAAAGGGAAACAACCCAGAGUGUAAAAAAAGUCAAACAAGGAAAGGAUUUAUCUAUUUUAUAGACCUUACUGUAGGCCUAACAGCUGCCAACAGCCAAGAAAGCGUUAAAGCUCAAAAUUUAUCCUAAUCCAAUGAUUCCUGAAAAUAGUACUUAUUUUCUCUAAAAUUACCUGAAAGAAAUAAUGUUAGAACAAGUAAGAAGAAAUAAAAACCUCCUUUUGCAAAGAAUAAAUAACAGAUAAGAACAAAUCAAGAAGUUCUCAACCAAGUGUUCUAUCAACUCAGACCCAAAGAAAGGAAGGAAAAAUGGUAGGAAAGGAACUCGGCAAACAUAUAAGAGGACUGUUUACCAAAAACAUAGCUCUCCGAAAAUAUGGAGGGUCACGCCUGCCCAGUGGUUUAGACUAAACGGCCGCGGUACCUUGACCGUGCAAAGGUAGCAUAAUCAUUUGUCUCUUAAAUGGGGACUUGUAUGAACGGCAAAACCUCUUCUAACUGUCUCUCCUAUCCUCCUCCUAAACUUCUAUCAGCGUGAAGAAACGCUGAUAUAUCAGAAAGACGAGAAGACCCUGUCGAGCUUAAGUCUAAAAAGAGAAGGUAUAUGCGCUUACAGCAGAAAGUUAAUAUCUUAUGAAGACUUUGGUUGGGGCAACCAUGGAGAACAACUUAACCUCCAGAGCGAACAGAAGAACUUCACCUCUCUGUUUUUAAACCUAGAGAACCAGAAACUGGAAAUCGGAAAAAGUUACCGCAGGGAUAACAGCGUUAUCUUCUCUGAGAGUCCUUAUUGACGAGAAGGCUUGCGACCUCGAUGUUGGAUUGGGGCCCCCUUAGGGUGCAGAAGCUCUAAAUGGUUGGACUGUUCGUCCAUUAAAGCCCUACAUGAUCUGAGUUCAGACCGACGAGAGUCAGGUCAGCUUCUAUCUUCUUACAGGUUUUCCCAGUACGAAAGGACCGGAAAGCCCCUUUCCAUGGAAAUCUCUAAAAAGGAAGAAAAAAUUAAAAAUUCUAUAAAAAAAAUUUCCCUUAGUGAGAAACUAAGCCCUUGCCAAAAAUUAAUAUAUUUAUUUAGGAUUGAGAAUCUAGUAAAAAGCAAAUUUUUUAAUUUUUCUACAAGACCCCCCCCUUAUUAGUUUUUGAAUAUAUCCCAUAUUUUACAAAUC